AGUUAAAGAUAUGCUGUUUGAGCACAAAGGAGAUUCGUUUAAAUCACUCUUGCUACAGAUUACGCCUAUGACGCACUGCCACCCUUUCACUGUUUCGCCCGGAACAUCUGCUUCUUAGAUCUAAGUGAUUGUACUGAAUAUAUAGCGUGGAGACCAGAGCUCGGUGCCUUUUGCAGCCUCCAUUUUGCAACUGGCCCCCUGGCUCCCACCUUUAUGAACUCUUAACCUGUCUCUUCUCAAUCCUUUGUCGCCACCGGACUACGGGUACCCUACAGGUGGUGUUGAGGCUGGUCCCCAACACAGCAGCAGUUGGGAUCUGGAAGUCAGCCCCAGGAAGCAGCCAACAAACAGAUGAGUGGAGCAUUGCCAGGGGAGUCCCAGAAAGAGCUGAGCAACACUUUGAUGGAGCUUCUGUGAGCUGUCAUCAGUGGAGAGCUCUGGCCACAGCCCAUACUAUCCUGGUGUCCUUGGGAAGUAAAGAAGCAUGCUGUCAUGGGCUGGCAGGGGCACUCUACUUAUCAUAGGCUCUCAAGGAUCCAGUCUGGCAGAAUGAUAAAGGUCUCUAAGCCAGAGGGAAUAAAGUGCUCUGCAGGACCUCUCACUGGAAAGUAAGAAACACACUCAGCAGGAAAGCAACCCAUCCCUUCCACUCACACCAUCAGAAUAGAUGAAAGCGACCCAUCCCUUCCACUCACACCAUCAGAAUAGAUGAAAGUGACCCAUCCCUUCCACUCACACCAUCAGAAGAGAUGAGAAGGACCCAUCACUUGCACUCACACCAUCAGAAGAGAUGAGAACAACCCAAUACUUCCACUGACACCAUCAGAAGAGACAAGAACGACCCAUCACUUCCACUCACGCCAUCAGAAGAGAUGAGAAGGACCCAUCACUUCCACUCACACCAUCAGAAGAGACGAGAAUGACCCAUUACUUCCACUCGCGCCAUCAGAAGAGAUGAGAGCGACCCAUCCCUUCCACUCAUGCCAUCAGAAGAGAUGAGAGCGACCCAUCCCUUCCACUCACGCCAUCAGAAGAGAUGAGAGCGACCCAUCCCUUCCACUCACGCCAUCAGAAGAGAUGAGAGCGACCCAUCCCUUCCACUCACACCAUCAGAAGAGAUGAGAACGACCCAUCACUUCCACUCACACCAUCAGAAAAGAUGAGAAGGACCCAUCACUUCCACUCACGCCAUUAGAAGAGAUGACUUGGCUCCACCUCCCAUAGGGGGCCAGGAAGUGCUAUCCUACAGUGUUCUCAUUCUGUUGCUCCUCAGUCCAUUUGGUUCUUUCUUCUGCGAAUUUUCCUUUACCUUUCCUUGCCCACAUCUAAAGUGAGCAUUGAAGAAUGUGUCCUCCUUGGGGGAAGAACAGCUUUCUCAGCCUGCCUCCUGCCUGGGGAAAGGGGGAGGAGGGCCCAGGGUAGCUUUAAAUUUUGAACAGUUGUACAUAUUUCUAGUCCAGGCUCCUGAUUUCUCUGGCUAUACAACUCUCUCAAAAACUUAAUUGGCUUCUUAUCUAUUUAAUUCUGAUCAGCUUCAUGUGCCCACAGUUACACUCAGUUCUUUUCUUUUCUUUUUUUUUGAGACGGAGUCUCGCUCUGUUGCCCAGGCUGGAGUGCAGUGGCGCAAUCUCAGCUCACUGGAAGCUCCGCCUCCUGGGUUCACGCCAUUCUCCUGCCUCAGCCUCCCGAGUAGCUGGGACUACAGGCGCAUGCCACCAUGCCAAGCUAAUUUUUGUAUUUUUUCAGUAGAGACGGGGUUUCACCAUGUUGGUCAGGCUGGUCUCAAACUCCUGACCUCAGGUGAUCCACCCGCCUCGGCCUCCCAAAGUGCUGAGAUUACAAGCGUGAGUCACCGCGCCCAGCCCACUCAGUUCUUUUCAAGACGUGCGUUGCUCUCUCUUGACUUGAAUCUAUUGGGCUUGAUAGAAAAGUUGUGCUUUCAUCUUUUUCCCAGGGCCACUUUGUUUUCCCCGUUCUGGGACCCAGGCUGAUGGAGAAGCCAGCAUCUUGAACAUUACAGUUGCUAUGUAGAGUGGAAAAAAAUCAAGUGGCAAAGUAUGCCAGUUCUUAAAUCUGUCACCUGGAAGUGACACGCAUCACUUCUGCUCACAUUUUAUUGGCUAAAGAAGCAGGUCAUGUAGUCAAACUUCAUUUCAAGUGGGCCACAGGGUGCAGGUGGCAGAAUGCAGUUAGAGUGCAUAGAAAGCUGCAAUCUUUGUGGACAGAAUGAGCGACCAUAGCAUGGUAUUGCAUUUUGGUGAGCAUGUGCUGCAUAAACAGAAAGUAGAAAGUGAGAUUAAACUGUAAGGACCACUGAUUAUUCUGGUAAGUGGGCUAAGUCUAAAGUAACAUGUUAUUAUAAUUAAAUAAUGUAAUAAUGUAAUGGGACUGCCUUGAAAGUUUUGCAUAGGAAAAUACCUUUGGCUGUCCCAUUGGGGAGGAAAUUGGAAGAAGAUUCAAGUCCUCAUAUUAGAGAAAUAGCUGGCUAAAUGAAUAGAUUCCUGAAAGUUGGUUGUUCCAUGGGAUUUAUGCCAAAGACUAAAGAAUUUUGAUGUUUCUUUGUGUUAUUCAGACCUUUACGUGAUUUAUAAAAACUUCACAUGGCUGCAAGAGAAGAUAUUCUUUCAGAUAUUAUUUGGGUUAAUGAGGAAAUUGGACAUAGCCUUAGGAUGAAAUGGAAGGCAGGCACAGAUUGGGUCAGUUGAUUAUUCUGUGCUGAGCUAGCACAGAAUUAAGUCAGUAACUUAAAAACAUAAAUGAAUGAAUGUCAGAGUUCCAUUCGUUUUAGGCUUCUGAUUGUGGAGGAAAUCAUAUGCCAGAGCUUUGGUAAAUGCAUGAACUCUACACACCAUAUUGGAGAGAACUGACAUUUUAAUAAUAUUGAUUCUUCUCAUCUAUGAACAUGCAACAUCCUUUCAAUUACUAGGUCUUUGUUGUAGCCUCUUUCCAAGACAUCUCUCAACAGCCCUAGCCUCCUGAAAUUUACACCCUGUGUAAAUUUGGUGCAGUCUCUACCACAUUGACUCAGAGCUGGUCUGUGUGACCAAUCAAGUAUGGAUGAUGAUGAUGUGUGACUUCUGGGGCUAGGUCAUAAAAGGUAUUGCAGCUCCCUUUGUGGCUUCUUGGAUCAUUUCUCUGAAGGAAGCCAACCACAAUGUUUCACAGUCACUCAGUCAUAUGGAGAGGCCCAUCUCCCAGCUCAAGUAAAACCUUCAGAUGGCUGCAGUCUGGACCAAAAAAUCUUGACUGCAACCUCAUGAGAGACCCCAAGCCAGAACCACUCAGUUAGAGCACUCCUGAAUUUCUGACCUGUUUACUCUUAUUUUAAGCAACUAAGUUGUUUUAGGGUAAUGUGUUAUGCAGCAAUGGACAGCUAAUACAAUAUUUUAAUUCGUAUCAAUAAAUGUUUCAUAAUUUUGUGCACAGAAAACUUGUACUUUUAAAAUUAAUUAGAUUUUUAUUAGAUUUAUUUCUAGGUAUUUGAUGUUCUUUGAUGCAUCUAUAAAUUGUAUACUUUAAAUUUUAUUAAUAUUUUGUGUCUUGUAUACAGUAAAACAAUUGAUUUUUAUAUAAUGACUUUUAUCCAACAACAUUAACAAAUUCUUAUAACUUUUAUUAAUUUAUGUGUAGAUAAAAGAGUUGUUUUAAGACACUAGAUAAGUUUGUUAAUUUUAGUAAUUUAUCUGUAGAUUUUCUUGGGUUUUCUAUGAAUGCAAUAAUGUCAUCUGCAAAUAAUGACAGUGUUGUGUCUUUCUAAUUCAUAUGGCUUUUAUUUUU